GCCUUAAAUCUAGCCCUUUAAACUCGCAUGCCCACUACACCUACCCCACAGAUAAAACAUUUUAACAGCAUAGUACAGGCGAUCGAAAAAUUUCUAAGCGCUUCAGAUAAAGUACCGCAAGGAAAGAUGAAAUAGUAAUGAAAUAAUCUUAAAGCCCCAAAAUAGCAGAGACAUCCCCUCGUACCUUUUGCAUCAUGGUCUAGCCAGUCUCUUCAAGCAAAAUGAAAAUUUUAGUUUGACCCCCCGAAACUGAGUGAGCUACUUCAAAACAGCCUAAAGGGCCAACCCGUCUCUGUCGCAAAAGAGUGGGAAGAUUUUGAAGUAGAGGUGACAAGCCUAUCGAACUCAGAGAUAGCUGGUUGUUCAGGAAAAGAGUCUAAGCUCUACCUUAAGUUUCCUAAUUACAUUUAAAAAUCUAAACUUAAGAGCUAUUCAAAUAAGGCACAGCUUAUUUGAAAAGGAACACAAUCCCCAAUACCGGGUUAAUAUGGGUAACCUAAACAAAGUGGGCCUAAAAGCAGCCAUCUUCUAAAAAGCGUUAAAGCUUAACAUAAGAUACCCCCAAUUUUAUAAAUUAUACUUAACCCUUCACUGCUACUGAACUAUUUUAUAUGUAUAUAAAAGUUAUUAUGCUAGAACUAGUAACAAGAAAUUGCCUUUCUCCACAAUGUACCUUUAAACCAGAACGGACCAACCACUGGUAAUUAACGUAACCUAAAGAUUAUAGUAAAUGUGUCAAGAAAAACCUAUGAUCUAUAAACGUUAACCUAACAACAGCACAUUUCUGGAAAGAUUAAAAGAAAAAGAAGGAACUCGGCAAAUCCUAGCCCCGCCUGUUUACCAAAAACAUCGCCUCUUGAAGAAAUAUAAGAGGUCCAGCCUGCCCAGUGACAUAGUUUAACGGCCGCGGUAUAAUAACCGUGCGAAGGUAGCAUAAUCACUUGUUCUCUAAAUAAGGACUCGUAUCAAUGGCACCACGAGGGUUAUACUGUCUCCUUUCUCUAAUCAGUGAAACUGAUCUCCCC
rnacentral:rRNA from 1 species